rnacentral:rRNA from 1 species
CGCGUAGGUGGUAGUGCAAGUCUGAGGUGGAAUCCUAUGGCUUAACCAUAGAACUGCCUUGGAGACUGCAUUACUUGAGUCAGUGAGGGGAGGGUAGAAUUCCUGGUGUAGCGGUGAAAUGCGUAGAUAUCAGGAGGAAGGCCGGUGGCGAAGGCGGCCCUCUGGCGCUGAACUGACACUGAGGCGCGAAAGCGUGGGGAGCAAACAGGAUUAGAUACCCUGGUAGUCCACGCCCUAAACGGUGGGUACUAGGUGUAGGGCUCGUAAGGGUUCUGUGCCGAAGCGAAAGCAUUAAGUACCCCGCCUGGGGAGUACGGCCGCAAGGUUGAA